GAUGAGCCAAGAUUGGUGUCCUUUAAGGCACUACUGAUUUUAAACUGAAGAGUUUGAUCAUGGCUCAGAUUGAACGCUGGCGGCAGGCUUAACACAUGCAAGUCGA
rnacentral:rRNA from 1 species